rnacentral:rRNA from 1 species
GGCUCGCGUCUGAUUAGAUAGUUGGCGGGGUAACGGCCCACCAAGUCGACGAUCAGUAGCCGGACUGAGAGGUUGGCCGGCCACAUUGGGACUGAGACACGGCCCAGACUCCUACGGAAGGCAGCAG